AUGUCUCCACUUAGCUGGAUUUUCCUUAUUGCUAUUUUACAAGGUGUCCACCGUGAGGAACAAUUGGUGGAGUCUGGCAGAGACCUGAGGCAGCCUGGGAGGGUCUCUGUAGCUCUCCUAUGCAGCGUCUGGAUUCACCUUCAGUAACUAUCAAAUGCAUUGGAUCGACAAGCUCCAGGGAAAGGGUCGCAGUGGGUAUCACUUAUUACUACUACUGAUGGUAGCACAUACUAAGCAUAUUCUGCGAAGGGUCGAUUCACCACCUCCAGAGAUAAUGCAAAAAACAUGUUAUAUCUUCAGAUGAGCAAUCUGAGAACAGAAGACACAGCCAUGUAUUACUGUGUAAGAGACACAGAGGAGGGAAGACAGUGUGAUCUCAGACAGAAACUUCUCUGUGGAGCUAAGAGCCCAGGAUUCAGAUCCAUAAGCAGGCACAACAGAUAUGAGUUAAAGGCUGGUUUCCUGUAG